rnacentral:miRNA from 1 species
GGAGCGGGUGCAGGACCCCGG